rnacentral:rRNA from 1 species
GACGAACGCUGGCGGCGUGCUUAACACAUGCAAGUCGAACGGAAAGGCCUGCUUUCCCUUGUGGAUUGCGGGUACUCGAGUGGCGAACGGGUGAGUAACACGUGAGUGAUCUGCCCCCAACUUGGGUAUAAGCCUGGGAAACUGGGUCUAAUUCCCGAUAGGACUGCAGGGUGGUGCCUGUGGUGGAAAACGAUUUUCUAGUGGUUGGGGAUGAGCUCGCGGCCUAUCAGCUUGUUGGUGGGGUAAUGGCCUACCAAGGCGGCGACGGGUAGCCGGCCUGGGAGGGUGGACGGGCACAUUGGGACUGAGAUACGGCCCAGACUCCUACGGGAGGCAGCAGUGGGGACUAUUGCACAAUGGGCGGAAGCCUGAUGCAGCGACGCCGCGUGGGGGAUGACGGCCUUCGGGUUGUAGACUCCUUUCGGCCGCGAGGAAGCCACCUGGUUGGAAGGGUGGUGACGGUAGUGGUAGAAGAAGCACCGGCUAACUACGUG